rnacentral:rRNA from 1 species
CAGUCGCCACGGUAAUACGGAGGGGGCUAGCGUUGUUCGGAAUUACUGGGCGUAAAGCGCACGUAGGCGGCUUGGUAAGUUAGAGGUGAAAGCCUGGAGCUCAACUCCAGAAUUGCCUUUAAGACUGCCGAGCUAGCAGGUGAGAGAGGUAAGUGGAAUUCCGAGUGUAGAGGUGAAAUUCGUAGAUAUUCGGAAGAACACCAGUGGCGAAGGCGGCUUACUGGCUCAUACUGGACGCUGAGGUGCGAAAGCGUGGGGAGCAAACAGGAUUAGAUACCCGCGUAGUCCCUGUCUCUUAUAU